rnacentral:rRNA from 2 species
GUGAUGGCGUGCCUUUUGUAGAAUGAACCGGCGAGUUACGAUCCCAUGCAAGGUUAAGUCGAUGAGACGGAGCCGCAGCGAAAGCGAGUCUGAACAGGGCGAAUGAGUAUGUGGUCGUAGACCCGAAACCAGGUGAUCUACCCAUGUCCAGGAUGAAGUCCAGGUAACACUGGAUGGAGGUCCGAACCCACGCACGUUGAAAAGUGCGGGGAUGAGGUGUGGGUAGCGGAGAAAUUCCAAUCGAACUUGGAGAUAGCUGGUUCUCUCCGAAAUAGCUUUAGGGCUAGCCUCAUGUGUAAGAGUCUUGGAGGUAGAGCACUGUUUGGACUAGGGGCCCUCAUCGGGUUACCGAAUUCAGACAAACUCCGAAUGCCAAAGACUUAUCCAUGGGAGUCAGACUGCGAGUGAUAAGAUCCGUAGUCGAAAGGGAAACAGCCCAGACCACCAGCUAAGGUCCCAAAGUAUACGUUAAGUGGAAAAGGAUGUGGAGUUGCUUAGACAACCAGGAUGUUGGCUUAGAAGCAGCCACCAUUUAAAGAGUGCGUAAUAGCUCACUGGUCGAGUGACUCUGCGCCGAAAAUGUACCGGGGCUAAACGUAUCACCGAAGCUGUGGAUUGACACCUCUAGGUGUCAGUGGUAGGAGAGCGUUCUAAGGACAGUGAAGUCAGACCGUAAGGACUGGUGGAGUGCUUAGAAGUGAGAAUGCCGGUAUGAGUAGCGAAAGAUGGGUGAGAAUCCCAUCCACCGAAUGCCUAAGGUUUCCUGAGGAAGGCUCGUCCGCUCAGGGUUAGUCGGGACCUAAGUCGAGGCCGAUAGGCGUAGACGAUGGACAACAGGUUGAUAUUCCUGUACCACCUCUUUUCCGUUUGAGCAAUGGGGGGACGCAGGAGGAUAGGGUAAGCGCACUGCUGGAUAUGUGCGUCUAAGCAGUUAGGCUGAUGAUGAGGAAAAUCCCGUCAUCGUGAAGGCUGAGCUGUGACAGCGAGCGAAUUAUAGUAGCGAAGUUCCUGAUUCCACACUGCCAAGAAAAGCCUCUAGCGAGGAAAAAGGUGCCCGUACCGCAAACCGACACAGGUAGGCGAGGAGAGAAUCCUAAGGUGAGCGAGAGAACUCUCGUUAAGGAACUCGGCAAAAUGACCCCGUAACUUCGGGAGAAGGGGUGCUCUUUGGGGUGCAUAGCCUCGAAGAGCCGCAGUGAAUAGGCCCAGGCGACUGUUUAGCAAAAACACAGGUCUCUGCGAAGCCGUAAGGCGAAGUAUAGGGGCUGACGCCUGCCCGGUGCUGGAAGGUUAAGAGGAGUGCUUAGCGCAAGCGAAGGUGCGAAUCGAAGCCCCAGUAAACGGCGGCCGUAACUAUAACGGUCCUAAGGUAGCGAAAUUCCUUGUCGGGUAAGUUCCGACCCGCACGAAAGGCGUAACGAUCUGGGCACUGUCUCAACGAGAGACUCGGUGAAAUUAUAGUACCUGUGAAGAUGCAGGUUACCCGCGACAGGACGGAAAGACCCCGUGGAGCUUUACUGUAGCCUGAUAUUGAAUUUUGGUACAGCUUGUACAGGAUAGGUAGGAGCCUUGGAAACCGGAGCGCCAGCUUCGGUGGAGGCGUUGGUGGGAUACUACCCUGGCUGUAUUGAAAUUCUAACCCGCGCCCCUUAUCGGGGUGGGAGACAGUGUCAGGUGGGCAGUUUGACUGGGGCGGUCGCCUCCUAAAGAGUAACGGAGGCGCCCAAAGGUUCCCUCAGAAUGGUUGGAAAUCAUUCGCAGAGUGUAAAGGCACAAGGGAGCUUGACUGCGAGACCUACAAGUCGAGCAGGGACGAAAGUCGGGCUUAGUGAUCCGGUGGUUCCGCAUGGAAGGGCCAUCGCUCAACGGAUAAAAGCUACCCCGGGGAUAACAGGCUUAUCUCCCCCAAGAGUCCACAUCGACGGGGAGGUUUGGCACCUCGAUGUCGGCUCAUCGCAUCCUGGGGCUGUAGUCGGUCCCAAGGGUUGGGCUGUUCGCCCAUUAAAGCGGUACGCGAGCUGGGUUCAGAACGUCGUGAGACAGUUCGGUCCCUAUCCGUCGUGGGCGCAGGAAAUUUGAGAGGAGCUGUCCUUAGUACGAGAGGACCGGGAUGGACGCACCGCUGGUGUACCAGUUGUCUUGCCAAAGGCAUCGCUGGGUAGCUAUGUGCGGAAGGGAUAAGUGCUGAAAGCAUCUAAGCAUGAAGCCCCCCUCGAGAUGAGAUUUCCCAUCACUUUAUGUGAGUAAGAUCCCUGGAAGAUGACCAGGUAGAUAGGUCAGAGGUGGAAGCAUGGCGACAUGUGGAGCUGACUGAUACUAAUCGAUCGAGGACUUAACCA